GGAUGGCCAUUCUGCUGCUGCAGCUGCUCUGCUUCCUGUUGGGCUUCCUGCGGGGAGAGUUCCAGGGAGCGCAGCAAGAAGAGAAUCAGCUCCUGCUGCCGUCACCGCCGCCGUCC